rnacentral:rRNA from 1 species
UGGAAGCCUCUAGGAGGGAGAUAGGGUUUGGAACGCGAAGAGCACCGCACUUACGGCGGUGUCCGGAUCUUCCCCUCGGACCUUGAAAAUCCGGGCGAGGGCCACGAGGAACACCGCGCCGGCUCGUACCCAUAUCCGCAGCAGGUCUCCAAGGUGAAUAGCCUCUAGUCGAUAGAAUAAUGUAGGUAAGGGAAGUCGGCAAACCCGAUCUGUAACUUCGGGAUAAGGAUUGGCUCUGAGGAUCGUGGCGCGCCGGGCUUGGUCGGGAAGUGGAGCGGUGCCAACGUGCCGGGCCUGGGCGAGGUGAAGGGCGCUCGUCGUCUGGACCCUAGCUCGGUCCCGUGCCUUGGCCACCCACGGACCUUCCUUGCUGCGAGCCUCCCGGCUGUCUAGUUUCCGGCCCAGCCGGAGGACGGGCCGGAAUGCUCUUCGGCCGCCAUAGAACGAUCAACUUAGAACUGGCACGGACCAGGGG